rnacentral:rRNA from 1 species
UACGAAGGGGGCUAGCGUUGCUCGGAAUUACUGGGCGUAAAGGGCGCGUAGGCGGACAGUUUAGUCAGAGGUGAAAGCCCAGGGCUCAACCUUGGAAUUGCCUUUGAUACUGGCUGUCUUGAGUUCGGGAGAGGUGAGUGGAAUGCCGAGUGUAGAGGUGAAAUUCGUAGAUAUUCGGCGGAACACCAGUGGCGAAGGCGACUCACUGGCCCGAUACUGACGCUGAGGCGUGAAAGCGUGGGGAGCAAACAGG